rnacentral:rRNA from 1 species
GACGAACGCUGGCGGCGUGCCUAAUACAUGCAAGUUGAGCGAUGAAGAUUGGUGCUUGCACCAAUUUGAAGAGCAGCGAACGGGUGAGUAACGCGUGGGGAAUCUGCCUUUGAGCGGGGGACAACAUUUGGAAACGAAUGCUAAUACCGCAUAACAACUUUAAACAUAGUUUUAAGUUUGAAAGAUGCAAUUGCAUCACUCAAAGAUGAUCCCGCGUUGUAUUAGCUAGUUGGUGAGGUAAAGGCUCACCAAGGCGAUGAUACAUAGCCGACCUGAGAGGGUGAUCGGCCACAUUGGGACUGAGACACGGCCCAAACUCCUACGGGAGGCAGCAGUAGGGAAUCUUCGGCAAUGGACGAAAGUCUGACCGAGCAACGCCGCGUGAGUGAAGAAGGUUUUCGGAUCGUAAAACUCUGUUGGUAGAGAAGAACGUUGGUGAGAGUGGAAAGCUCAUCAAGUGACGGUAACUACCCAGAAAGGGACGGCUAACUACGUG